ACCUGGGUGGCUCAGUUGGUUAAGCAUCUGACUUCAGCUCAGGUCAUGAUCUCAUGGUUCGUGGGUUCAAGUCCCGCAUUGGGGU
rnacentral:tRNA from 1 species